UACGUAGGGGGCAAGCGUUGUCCGGAAUCAUUGGGCGUAAAGCGCGUGUAGGCGGCUCGAUAAGUCUGCUGUGAAAGUUCAGGGCUCAACCCUGAAAUGCCGGUGGAAACUGUCGGGCUAGAGUCCGGAAGAGGCGAGUGGAAUUCCUGGUGUAGCGGUGAAAUGCGCAGAUAUCAGGAGGAACACCAAUGGCGAAGGCAGCUCCCUGGCUCGACCCUGACGCUGAGGCGCGAAAGCGUGGGGAGCGAACGGG
rnacentral:rRNA from 1 species